GCCCUAGAAAAAUUCUAAGGUGUAACCUGCCCAGUGAUCUUUAAUAAAUUAUAUGAGGUAUAUUAAAAAAGAUUAAAAGGACGCGGUAACCUUGACCGUGAUAAUGUAGCAUAAUCACUCGCCAUUUAAUUGAUGGAUAGUAUGAAUGGUUGAACGAAUAUUCCACUGUCUUAAAGAGAAUUACAAGAAAUUGAAAUAGUAGUUAAGAUGCUACUUAAAACUGUAAGACGAAAAGACCCUAUAGAGCUUAACUAUAACCUCUUUAAAAUUAAAUAAAAUAGUAUUUUAUAAGUUAAAGAGAUUGGUAGUUUAGUUGGGGCGACUGUCUUCUAGAUAUAACGAAGAUAUGCAAAGUUAAUACCAAAACUUAUUGUAUAAUCAAAGUAUUUAACAAUUAUAAACAUAGGCUAUAAUGACCCGUUAAUACGUAAAAAAACGAUUAACGAUCAAUUGAUAAAAGCUACCUUAGGGAUAACAGGAUAAUUUCAUUUUAGAGCUCAUAUCGAAAAUGAAGUUUGUCACCUCUAUGUUGAAUUAAGAUAUCCAGGUAAUGCAGAAGUUACCAAGGGUAGGUCUGUUCGACCUUUAAAAUCUU
rnacentral:rRNA from 1 species